rnacentral:rRNA from 1 species
GGGUUGUGAGGUUAAGCGACUAAGCGUACACGGUGGAUGCCCUGGCAGUCAGAGGCGAUGAAGGACGUGCUAAUCUGCGAAAAGCGCCGGCGAGG